rnacentral:rRNA from 1 species
CGCAGCCUGAUCCAGCCAUGCCGCGUGAGUGAAGAAGGCCUUCGGGUUGUAAAGCUCUUUCAGCUGGAAAGAAAUCGUAUCUAUUAAUACUAGGUGCGGAUGACGGUACCAGCAGAAGAAGCACCGGCUAACUACGUGCCAGCAGCCGCGGUAAUACGUAGGGUGCGAGCGUUAAUCGGAAUUACUGGGCGUAAAGCGUGCGCAGGCGGCUUUUUAAGCCAGAUGUGAAAUCCCCGGGCUUAACCUGGGAACUGCAUUUGGAACUGGAAGGCUAGAGUGUAGCAGAGGGGGGUAGAAUUCCACGUGUAGCAGUGAAAUGCGUAGAGAUGUGGAGGAAUACCAAUGGCGAAGGCAGCCCCCUGGGUUAACACUGACGCUCAUGCACGAAAGCGUGGGGAGCAAACAGGAUUAGAUACCCUGGUAGUCCACGCCCUAAACGAUGUCAACUAGGUGUUGGGGAAGAGAUUCUUUAGUACCGCAGCUAACGCGUGAAGUUGACCGCCUGGGGAGUACGGUCGCAAGAUUAAAACUCAAAGGAAUUG